GACGAACGCUGGCGGCGUGCUUAACACAUGCAAGUCGAACGAGUGGGCACGGGUGAGUAACACGUGGGUAACCUCCCAUCAGAGGGGAUAACACUUGGAAACAGGUGCUAAACCGAUACUGAUGGAUGAACACGCGGUGCAUUAGUUAGUUGGUGAGGUAACGGCCCACCAAGGCCAAGGUGUAUAGCCGACCUGAGAGGGUGAUCAGCCACACUGGGACUGAGACACGGCCCAGACUCCUACGGGAGGCAGCAGUUGGGAAUAUUGGGCAAUGGACGAAAGUCUGACCGAGCAACGCCGCGUGAGUGAAGAAGGUUUUCGGAUUGUAAAACUCUUUUGUUAGGGAAGCGGUAUCUAACCAGAAAGCCACGGCUAACUACGUGCCAGCAGCCGCGGUAAUUC
rnacentral:rRNA from 1 species